UAAACGGAACGGUAACUAAAUUGCGGUAGAGGAAACAAUGUUGCUGAAGAAAAAUAAUACUAGAAAGCAGAAUUGCUGUAGAAAAUAAAUUGCAGAGAAAAAUUAAGCGUCCUCGUAGGUUUCCAACUUCUGUCUUUCUAUAUCCGCCAUUAGGUCAUGGCAGUUGAGAGAAACAAGGAUGACUUGGUUGAGUGAGGAAUCCACGAGAAAGUGGUUGUGGAACGAGAAUUUAGGCAUGUUGGCUCACUUCUGUUGACUGUUUCAAGGCGCUGAUUUUGGCCGCGUGAUGUUCGUGAUGGGCCUGUGACGGUCGUCACAGGCUGGGCGUGCCGGUCAUUACAUGCUUUGUGACGGUUGUCACAUCCACAAUUUUUGUGUCCCUGUUUUUCUGCUUUCUUCUUCUUUUCCUUCCUUUUUUAUACUUUACUCAUUUAAGACGGGGAUUGAAAUACCUGCAAAAAUAACUCGAACACUUGCGGAAUAAUCAGAAUAUAAAUGAAAGUGUUACGAUUUUUGAGUGUAAAUCAAGGCAAAUAUACGAUGUAUUUUCGCAUUAUCAGAGGGUUAUAAGGGAUUCUGUUAGGAUUUGAACUGAAUUCCGUUUUUAGUUCAUGGUUGGAAGCGGGUUAGAGGUUUUUUUAGGCAGGUUCUGAUUGCAGAAGGGAAAUUUUUGGAAGGUGAGUUGGUUCAGUGCUUGAUAGGAGUUAUUAGAAAUUCUGUUGAAAACUGGUUAUAAGAAAUUCUGUUAGGCCUUUCUUUGACAGUCCUUGGUUGGAAAUUCGGCGGCGUUUGAGAAGUUGGUUAUAUCAGUUAUAUGAGAUUGGAGUUUGUUAUUUCUGAACUGAAUUCAGUUUGUGGAGGUUAAGUUGGCUAUUUUGAGGAGGUUCUUUUUGAGUUUUGAAGAGGUUGAAUUUGUUCUGAAGAUGAAAAUUCAGUUGGAGGAACUCAGCUAUUCCGUUCGGUUGGAGUGAAAUCAGUUAAGAGGUUGUUAGAAGUUAGUUCUAAUUUUGUUAGAGGUUGUGUUUUGAUAAUUGGCAGAAAUGAAGUUAGUUAGAAAAAGUCAGAGUCAAUUUGGAAAUCUUUUAAACGGUUUUGGUUAGUUAUCAGUUAUGGUUAGUAGGAAUCAUGUUUGGUUUGUGAAUAUUAACUGUUGUGUUCAUGUCGGAGGUUGGAAUUGGUGUGAUGAACUGUUUUAGAUGCUGCUGCAGGACUCCUAUAUUUCGUCGGUAGGAUGGUUUGAAGAAUUGAUGCGAGAAGUAGUCGUGAAGCCGGUUUGUCACAGGGUUUUACCCAUGGUUUAUAAUGGUUGUGAAAGGCCUUGGUAGAAUGAUUUUUGUUUUUUAUCCGUUGCAGGUUUGGUUGGUUUUUAAUAAGGUUGAAGGGUUUGGUCUUUAGUGAAGUUAAUAUUGUUCUGUUUUUGUGCAGGUUGGUUAAACUCAACCUUCCUUUGUCCUACAUAGCCAUUAAGGAAUGCCAAACUGGAGCAAACCGUUGUUGUCAUCACCUUGAGAAUUCGACGCCUAGCCUUCUUUAUGGAAACCGUAUGGCUGAAGAAAACACCAUCCUAUUACUAUGUUGGUUCGUUUGCGGAAGGUUUCUCAUCAGCAACCUCACUGGGAAGGCCAAGGUCGUGUGAGAUUUCGCUAGGACGGUUCGUAAUUCAAUCCAAUCAUCCCUCCAUCGAUGAUAACCGCAACUCGUAAUAUAGGAAAGUGUAUACAGGUUUCACUCUUCACGUUUGGAUGACAACCCCUUUCAAAAGCACUUCGAACACUAAACGGAAAACCACUGAUAGGUCUCGAGGAAUUUGGUUCUCUUAAAAAAUUUUAGGUGUAUGAUUUAUGUUCUAGAAUGUAAAUUGAAUUAUGUAAAUUGAAUGGAAUUUGGGAUUGUUUUGUAAUAGAAAUGUUUGGGAAUUUGGAAUUAAAUGGAAAACUUGAAUGUUAAUGGCAUGGUUAUGAUAGAAAUGAGAUGGUGUAUUCUUGGAUUUGAAUAGAAAUGUGAUGUAUUGACUGAAUGCAUAUUGGGAUUA